UCGACCGACGAACACACCUAACCGUUGCCUUUGACUCCACUACCUCCUAUUACGGGACGCCAACGGAAAUGACUUCUUAAUCGAUAUUCGUUGAUCCCUCCUCGCGAUCGGAUACUCCUCGAUUCUUUUGGCGACGCAAGCGGAAUAACGUUUACAACGACGUUCGAAUGGAAAAGAUUUGGACAAUUGGAAAUUACGGAAAAUUAUUCUUCCGUGUCCGUGGAAUUCAAAUAUCUUACUUUGUAAUCUGAUGCACAAAUGAAAUAGUAUUGUGUAUUCUGUUGGUCCUCGCUUGCUGAAGAAAAGGAAGUUCUAUGUUCAUUUACAGCGUUCGAAGUCAUUAUCUUCACAGAGGAAAAGAAGACUGACAAGAUAUAUUACUGCUGAAACAGCAAUAACGGUAUGAAUGGCAGAGGAAUCAUUAAAAAAGACGUUGGAGAAGAAAUUCAUAAACGAACAACGCGAAGAAUAUUAAAGGAAGCUAAUUUUAAAAGUUGAACAAAUAAAGUCCGCUUCUCCGUAAAAUAUUGAAGCUCAUUUGAUUCUUAUGAAAGUACUCAUCAGGUUCAAAAAGAAAAGGUAAAUUUUUAGUAACUUGAUAUAUUAAAACUGUCGCACAUCAUGAUUAUAAUGUGGAGUGUAUUAUAUAGUCUGGAGCUAAUGUAAAAUAAUUCAGUACAUGCUGUUACUGGACUAUAAAUUUCAACAUGUCAAUGACUCAAUGGGUACUAUGAAAACUAUGAAAAUUUAAUGACACUGUCAAUCGUUCGUAGGAAGCUACCUAUUUAUGGCACAUGUUUAUUUAUGUUUAUUUAUGUUUACCUUAUAUCGAAUAAUAUUGAAUAUUAAAAAUAACAUUAAAUGUCAAAGUAUACACGCUUUAUAAAAAGUAGUGGUACUAGUAAGGGAAAAGGUCAGUAGUAAUUAAAAUCAAUGUAACGAAAAAUACAGUCGGUAGAAAA